rnacentral:rRNA from 1 species
GUACACUCCUACGGGAGGCAGCAGUGGGGAAUUUUGGACAAUGGGCGAAAGCCUGAUCCAGCAAUGCCGCGUGAGUGAAGAAGGCCUUCGGGUUGUAAAGCUCUUUUGUCAGGGAAGAAACGGUGAGAGCUAAUAUCUUUUGCUAAUGACGGUACCUGAAGAAUAAGCACCGGCUAACUACGUGCCAGCAGCCGCGGUAAUACGUAGGGUGCAAGCGUUAAUCGGAAUUACUGGGCGUAAAGCGUGCGCAGGCGGUUUUGUAAGUCUGAUGUGAAAUCCCCGGGCUCAACCUGGGAAUUGCAUUGGAGACUGCAAGGCUAGAAUCUGGCAGAGGGGGGUAGAAUUCCACGUGUAGCAGUGAAAUGCGUAGAUAUGUGGAGGAACACCGAUGGCGAAGGCAGCCCCCUGGGUCAAGAUUGACGCUCAUGCACGAAAGCGUGGGGAGCAAACAGGAUUAGAAACCCCUGUAGUCC